rnacentral:rRNA from 1 species
CGGGUAGAGUAAUGCGUGACCAACCUGCCCCAUGCUCCAGAAUAGCUCUUGGAAACGGGUGGUAAUGCUGGAUGCUCCAACUUGACGCAUGUCUUGUUGGGAAAGUGUUUAGUGGCAUGGGAUGGGGUCGCGUCCUAUCAGCUUGUAGGCGGGGUAAUGGCCCACCUAGGCUUCGACGGGUAGCCGGCCUGAGAGGGCGGACGGCCACAUUGGGACUGAGAUACGGCCCAGACUCCUACGGGAGGCAGCAGUG